AUUGAACGCCGGCGGCAUGCCUUACACAUGCAAGUCGAACGGCAGCACGGGGCAACCUGGUGGCGAGUGGCGAACGGGUGAGUAAUGCAUCGGAACGUACCUUUCAGUGGGGGAUAACGUAGCGAAAGUUACGCUAAUACCGCAUAUUCUGUGAGCAGGAAAGCAGGGGAUCGCAAGACCUUGCGCUGAUUGAGCGGCCGAUGUCAGAUUAGCUAGUUGGUGAGGUAAAGGCUCACCAAGGCGACGAUCUGUAGCGGGUCUGAGAGGAUGAUACGCCACACUGGAACUGAGACACGGUCCAGACUCCUACGGGAGGCAGCAGUGGGGAAUUUUGGACAAUGGGGGCAACCCUGAUCCAGCCAUGCCGCGUGAGUGAAGAAGGCCUUCGGGUUGUAAAGCUCUUUCGGCCGGGAAGAAAUCGCACGGGCUAAUACCCUGUGUGGAUGACGGUACCGGAAUAAGAAGCACCGGCUAACUACGUGCCAGCCGCCGCGGUAA
rnacentral:rRNA from 1 species